rnacentral:lncRNA from 1 species
AAGCUUUCACGAGUUCCAGGUGAGUCCCUUUCGAGUUUAAUACGUUUCUUUCUCUCGGUAUCUGGCAUCAUUUCUUUGUUGACCCAUGGGUAAUAUUUUAUCAAUCUUGUUGUGGACAUCUCGGAUUAUUUGGUUUUGAGUUUGAAUGUAGUAGGCUGCAUGUACACGCCCCGUCUUUGUUUUCUCCUGUAAAUAGUUGGCCCUCCAUUUUAGUUUGUUUAAUGCUUGAGGGUUGUAUCGAGUUUGUUCAUCCUAUUUGAGCCUUUGAUGAGUUUUGUGAGGUUCUACAAAGAUCUCCAAGCCAUCGCCGACGCUUGUAGCGAUGACCCCCGCACCUCCGGCGUCGCGGGCGGUCCUAGCUCCGGCGGCCAUGGCGCCCUUGCUGGGGAGCUCCUUAUUGAAGACAAUGCCCAGGUGGGGCAUUUAGUCUUGAUAGGCUUGAGGGUUAAUGGGCUAGGGUUGCUAGUUUGGGCUUGGUGGAGAUGGAGCCCAAAGUUUUUUUUUUUUUAAUGAUGGACUUGGGCUUAUGAUAGAGAUGGGGCCCAAAGCCCCAUUAUUAUUAUUAUUAUGCUAGUUUGGGCUGGGUCGAGAUGGAGCCCAGAGCUCUUUUUAAUGUUGGACGUGGGCUUAGGCUUAUGGAUUGAGCUCUUUUAAUGUUGGACGUGGGCUUGGGCUUAUGGACUUGGGUUUAUGAUAUCAUCAUUAUUAAUUAUUAU